rnacentral:rRNA from 1 species
CAGCCGCCGCGGUAAUACGAAGGGUGCAAGCGUUACUCGGAAUUACUGGGCGUAAAGCGUGCGUAGGUGGUGGUUUAAGUCCGUUGUGAAAGCCCUGGGCUCAACCUGGGAAUUGCAGUGGAUACUGGGUCACUAGAGUGUGGUAGAGGAUAGUGGAAUUUCCGGUGUAGCAGUGAAAUGCGUAGAGGUCGGAAGGAACAUCUGUGGCGAAGGCGACUAUCUGGGCCAACACUGACACUGAGGCACGAAAGCGUGGGGAGCAAACAGGAUUAGAUACCCCCGUAGUCCCUGUCUCUUAUAC